GCUGGCAGCUAGCUCUCUGCAACUCUUACAUGAAGCCAACUGAAGCUAAGCAGGGCUGCGCCUGGUCAGUACCUGGAUGGGAGACCACAUGGGAAAGAUUGGUUGCUGCCGGAA
rnacentral:rRNA from 1 species